GUGCUUGCUAAGGCAGCACAUAUACUAAAAUUGGAUCGAUACAGAGAAGAUUAGCAUGGCCCCUGCGAAAAGCAAAAAUGUCCUUCUCAAAGUCUUCAGCUCCAUCU